CUGUUUCCUUUUCUUGCUUCGCCUUGCGCACAUUCUCUACUUGUAGACAAUCUGCAAUUACCCACAUUAUAACAGCCACUUCCACAAAAUAUGACCCUGUCUCCUGCCAACCCUAUCUCUUCCAACCAACUUACCCACCAAUCCUUGCCAUCCAGCAUUCCAAUGGUUAACCUAUCAUCCAUGUUUCAUCCAAAUCUGGUUCGUUCCAUCAUAACAAUAUUCCAUUUCAUCUCCGCCAUCACCCUAUUCCAUCCAAG
rnacentral:lncRNA from 1 species